rnacentral:rRNA from 1 species
UGCAGUCGAGCGGGGGAAGGUAGCUUGCUACUGGACCUAGCGGCGGACGGGUGAGUAAUGCUUAGGAAUCUGCCUAUUAGUGGGGGACAACAUCUCGAAAGGGAUGCUAAUACCGCAUACGUCCUACGGGAGAAAGCAGGGGAUCUUCGGACCUUGCGCUAAUAGAUGAGCCUAAGUCGGAUUAACUAGUUGGUGGGGUAAAGGCCUACCAAGGCGACGAUCUGUAGCGGGUCUGAGAGGAUGAUCCGCCACACUGGGACUGAGACACGGCCCAGACUCCUACGGGAGGCAGCAGUGGGGAAUAUUGGACAAUGGGGGGAACCCUGAUCCAGCCAUGCCGCGUGUGUGAAGAAGGCCUUAUGGUUGUAAAGCACUUUAAGCGAGGAGGAGGCUACUCUAGUUAAUACCUAGGGAUAGUGGACGUUACUCGCAGAAUAAGCACCGGCUAACUCUGUGCCAGCAGCCGCGGUAAUACAGAGGGUGCGAGCGUUAAUCGGAUUUACUGGGCGUAAAGCGUGCGUAGGCGGCUUAUUAAGUCGGAUGUGAAAUCCCCGAGCUUAACUUGGGAAUGCAUUCUAUACUGGUGAACUAGAGUAUGGGAGAAGAUGGUAGAAUUCCAGUGUAGCGGGGAAAUGCGUAAGAUCUGG